rnacentral:rRNA from 1 species
UACGGGGGGGGCAAGCGUUGUUCGGAAUUAUUGGGCGUAAAGGGCUCGUAGGCGGUUUGUCGCGUCGGGAGUGAAAACCUCGGGCUUAACUCGGGGCUUGCUUUCGAUACGGGCAGACUAGAGGUAUGCAGGGGAGAACGGAAUUCCUGGUGUAGCGGUGAAAUGCGCAGAUAUCAGGAGGAACACCGGUGGCGAAGGCGGUUCUCUGGGCAUGAUCUGACGCUGAGGAGCGAAAGUGUGGGGAGCGAACAGG